CAUGCGCCUGACCAGGGAUUGAACCCACAACCUAGCACACAGGAUGAAAAUUGACUGAAUUCUCAGCUUGUUGUAGCUUUCAUGAACACUAGAUGGCACUCUUGCUCAACUGAAAUCUAGUUUCUCAAUCAUAUUUUAGUGCUGUGGGCCUUAGAAGAAUUGAGUAUGCAACUUAAAAAUGCUUAUGUUUCCAUUUUGUUUUAAAGAAGGGAAUUUGGGGAGAAAGAGGAAGUUUCCAAGUGUAAAUAGCAGAGCUUAACUGGUUCAAUUUUUCCAUUCAUCCAAAAAUCACCAUGUUAAUAAUGAUACCAGUCAUUUAUUCCACAAACAUUUAUUAUGCACUUACUAUCUUUAGGCACUGUUCUUGGCAUUACAUACAUCAGUGGGCAAAGGGAUAAAAAUCUCUACCCUCAUAGAUCCUAUAUUCCAGUGCUUGGAUUUUUCCCCCCAGGUGCCAUUCUAAGCUCAUACUUGCAUCAUCCAUUAACUUACCCAUUUAAUAAGAAGCCAAAGCACAGAAAAGUUAUCUAACUUGCCCCUGUUCACCUAGUUAAUGUAGGUGUAAGAGCUGGGAUUCAAAGUGAGGCAUUUGGUCUCUGGAGUUCUAGUAAUCUCAAUACUGUACUGCCUCUCAAAAACUGAAGAAUAUUUUAUUAUUGAUUCUGUUGGAUGCAAAUAAUAAAGUCACCUAUCUUACCUAAUAAUAGACA